GCAGGGUGUGGUGAUGGGCACCUGUAAUCCUAGCAACUCGGGAGGCUGAGACAGGAAGAUUGCAAAUUUGAGGAUUCUCUUAGUAACUUAGCAAGACCCUGUUUUGA
rnacentral:sRNA from 1 species